CCACAUUCCUGCCUCCCUGGCCCACUCUUCAGCUCUGCCUAAAUUACACGGGCUACCUCGUGUAUUUGAAUAAAUAUGCCUUAGGCUGAGGUCGGCCAGAGUUAGCUUCCAUUGCUCAUGAUAAAAGAAACCUCACUGAUGCUGACAAAAGUACUUCUGGGAGUUUCCUGGUUGUUUAAAAUUCAAGAUCUAGGCCAACACCCACUCUGGGCAUGAUUCCCACCCACUUUGGUCUGGCCCAGGCUUCUAUGGUUUCUAAAUUCAAACAUCAGGAAGAGACCUUCAGAGGAGGGAGAGGAGGAGAGAAGAGGGCAUUUGGACCAAGAUCAAAUUCAAAUGCUUCUCUGUGGAUGGGAAACCCAGUGGAAGGCAGUGAUUUACCCCAGAGGAGCACUUGGGCAUCAAGGCAAAGGGAUUCAUCCUCAGGGGACCGGGACUCCUGGGCAAGAGAUGGAAACAGUUGAGAGGCCCCUGCUCCACCUCUGCCACAGACCCGCAGUGCCACCUCAGGCCUUCGAAGUUGUGUCUCUGUGCUGGAAGAAAUAAAACAAUCCCUCCAGGGUGGCGGUAAGAAGGU
rnacentral:lncRNA from 12 species